rnacentral:rRNA from 1 species
GACGUAGGGCGCGAGCGUUGUCCGGAUUUAUUGGGCGUAAAGAGCUCGUAGGCGGCUUGUCGCGUCGACCGUGAAAACUUGGGGCUCAACCCCAAGCCUGCGGUCGAUACGGGCAGGCUCGAAUUCGGUAGGGGAGACUGGAAUUCCUGGUGUAGCGGUGAAAUGCGCAGAUAUCAGGAGGAACACCGAUGGCGAAGGCAGGUCUCUGGGCCGAUACUGACGCUGAGGAGCGAAAGCGUGGGGAGCGAACAGG